UACGUAGGGGGCUAGCGUUGUCCGGAAUCAUUGGGCGUAAAGAGCGUGUAGGCGGCCCGGUAAGUCCGCUGUAAAAGUCCAAGGCUCAACCGUUUGAAAUGCAGUGGAUACUGCCUGGGCUAGAGGUCCGGAAGAUGGCGAGUGGAACGUCUGGAUGUAGCGGUGGAAUGCGCAGAUAUCAGGAGGAACCACCGGUGGCGAAGGCGGGUCUCUGGGCCGAAUGACAUGACCGCUGGAGGCAGCGAAAGCGUGGGUAGCAAACAGG
rnacentral:rRNA from 1 species